ensembl:lncRNA
AGAGAGAGAGAGAGAGAUAGGGAGAGAGAGAGAGAGGGAGGAAGAGAGAGAGGGGGGGAUGGUCGGGGUGAGUACGGGCAGAGAGAGAUCACAGAUAAAAUCUUUCUAAUUAGAAUCUUUGCGUAUUUCAGGCUCCAGUCCAAAGUACAGACUUUAAGAAAUUGUGAAAAUACAUAUAUAUUCAAUAUUUUAGUAACACAUGUGUCCCCACUAAUCCAAACACCAGCAUGUGCCCAUGUUUCUUCAUCAGAAAUACAACACCUCCUAUACGGAGCAUGGGGGUAAAUGCACACACUUAUACUUCCAGGCCUCUAAGCACGUGCACACAUACUUUCACUCCCUUUCAUUUAACUGUACUUCCAAGCAAAGAGCAGGAACCUUUGCUUAGCACAGACCUUUGGCAGAUAGCGAUGUUUGAUCUGCUGGAGUCUGGACUGUGGUCCAUAGACGGCAUGGGAAAAAAUAUCUGUUCAUCUUUUUUCACGUGACAAAGAUUUAGUGUCAGACACCCUGCAAGGUGUUUACACUUGGUAUGCACUAAGAGACAAGACAAACUAUCAAUUUCUUAUGCAAGAAAAUAAAUACAUUUGUUAAAAUGUGGAUUCACAUUUAAAGCAGUUUUUACCCAUUUUUUUACCACAUCCGCCUCACAAACUAUUAAGAUGUUCUUGCCGUUAUUCAAGACAUCAAACGUAAGAAAUUAGGUCAUCCUCUCUCCCACUGAUAAUUGAUUAGUUGUUCUUCAAUUGAGGGAAUGACUGAUCUCAUGAUGUCAAACAGGAUAUGACCUCAGCGAUCUCAGAUGACAUAAUUGCGAUCACCUGCAAAGCGUCCUGAAGUCGGUCCGCAGGCCGUGAGACACCAGCGCUCGCAGCAGGGAGAUGUGAAACAGUCGUCUUCACCAGCAACAAAAACACAGAUAACACGCUGCCAGGACGACUGAGAGAAGGCCCAUAUCCUUCCAAUUCCCUCCCUCUCUCUCUGCCUCUCUCUCGUUCUCAUUCUUUCUCUGUCUGUGUCUCUCUUGCUCCCUCUGUGUCUCUCUUACUCCCUCUGUCUGUCUGUCUGUCUGUCUGUCUGUCUGUCUGUCUGUC